AUUGAACGCUGGCGGCGUGCCUAACACAUGCAAGUCGAUCGGUAACAGGUGUAGCAAUACAUGCUGACGAGAGGCGGACGGGUGAGUAAUGCUUGGGAAUCUGCCUAUUAGUGGGGGACAACCCGGGGAAACUCGGGCUAAUACCGCAUACGCUCUACGGAGGAAAGCCGGGGACCGCAAGGCCUGGCGCUAAUAGAUGAGCCCAAGUCGGAUUAGCUAGUUGGUAGGGAACGGCCUACCAAGGCGACAAUCCGUAGCUGGUCUGAGAGGACGACCAGCCACACCGGAACUGAGACACGGUCCGGACUCCUACGGGAGGCAGCAGUGGGGAAUAUUGGACAAUGGGGCAACCCUGAUCCAGCGACGCCGCGUGGGUGAAGAGGGCCUGCGGGUUGUAAAGCCCUUUCGGUGGGGAAGAAAAGUCUCGACCUAAUACGUCGGGACCUUGACGUAACCACUAAAGAAGCACCGGCUAACUCUGUGCCAGCAGCCGCCGUAAC
rnacentral:rRNA from 1 species